UACGUAGGGUGCAAGCGUUGUCCGGAAUUAUUGGGCGUAAAGAGCUCGUAGGCGGUUUGUCGCGUCUGCUGUGAAAACCCGAGGCUCAACCUCGGGCCUGCAGUGGGUACGGGGCAGACUAGAGUGCGGUAGGGGAGAUUGGAAUUCCUGGUGUAGCGGUGAAAUGCGCAGAUAUCAGGAGGAACACCGGUGGCGAAGGCGG
rnacentral:rRNA from 1 species